GAGCUGGAAUCUUGUGUGCCAGCAGGUGGAUUUUAUAAUGCAUGCAUUUUUACUUUUAGACAUAAUUCAGUCGAGCGCGGUACUUGAUUAGUACCUCUCAAACGUAAGAAGCUACUUAAUGUGAGGCGCACUUACCGAAUUAUGUGAGAUUGUAAUUUAUUUUUUAAGUGUGCAUGAUUGAUGAUUCGUAUGUUUAUUUUACUAUUCAAAGAUGGUUGGUUCACCAGAAGAAAAGUUUAUAUGCAAGAUGUAAAGGUAUAAGAACCAAAGACGAAUGUCAGCUUAUUUCACAUGUUUGCCGCCCGAAUUCCUCAGUUCGAUGAAUUGAAAUAAUGAAACAUUUCUUGUGAUGGAGAUAAAUCAGUUACUUUGGUCCAAAAACAUUUUUUCUGACAAAUAAAACUACUUUAGCCAAACAA